CUUCACUAAUUUCUUGCCCAUACACCUCUCUGAAGCAUAGUAUACAUUGUGCAAAAGCGAGUCUAGCAAAAGAUCAGCCAGCAAAGCUAAACUUCAGAGGUAUUGCUGUUUCUAGAGGUGUCACUAAGGUCUGACCUUUGAAAUCAUUGUUUCCCCUUACGAAGUCCCUUAACCUGUCUUCCUACUUCUCCCUUACCUGUUUCUCUUCAAAUUCUGUGCUGAGAGAUAAGACUGCCGAAGAUGAUGGCCAGCAGAGCAAUCCAGUGGAAGACAUCUUUGGAUGUGAACUUGAAGCUCUUUGGAUAACGAUAUGUGAUGAAAUGACUGCAACUGGCCAUCAGGGAUCUCCUGCAGACCCUCUGCUUGGUUAAUGGUGGUGGAAUCAAUCACUGAACCUGCAUAUCUGAUGAACUGUGAUGGACGCUCAGGACUUCACUGCCUUUGUCCACCCCCAGGUUCAAGAGUGGUUUGAAUUCAGAGGAAACAACAGUACUAGGUAGGCCUAUGACAUGUUAAUAUGCAAGAGCUACAAGAAGCAGGAAAGCUGAUGGCAUCUCCAGGUGUUUGGGGGAGUCUGGAAGAAGCAGCCCUUCCCUGAGAUCUUCUGGGAUGGAACUUGCCUCUGGAUCUGAACCAUAACAAAAUCUUAUGAAUGUUGUAAUGUCUUUUAGGAUCAGGGCCUUCACAGAGUCUGAUAACUAGGGAAACUAGUUGGAUGUAGGAAAGUAGCUUCUAUUGUCAAUAAGAAUUUAAUUUUGCCUUGCAAAACUAUUUUGAUUAUGUCUGUGUUUUUUUGUGUCUACAUGGGUUACAGAUAAAUCUAUAUACCAAUGGAGGAAGAAAAAUUGCCAAGUUUUGUGGAUAAUUAUACUGUCUGAAAUGGUGUUUGUGUGAUAUUUUCA